AAACAGAAAUGUGAGUGCUUCCUCACUUUUGACAAGCUGCUAGAACAACGUUCCAAAAAGCAGCACAAACUCAUGCAUCCUGAGAAUCAAAGCUCUUUGAAUGAGCAAGAAAUAGUAAAGACCUUAUAGGAAGUAAAUAAAUAAUUAGCAGAUGGAAAAAGCAUGGAGUAACAACGCAAGUAGUUCUGUUUCUUCACAUCUUAACCUAGUCUUUUUUUUUUUUAAUUUUCUUUUUAAUUCUCAGCAAGGCAAGUUACUUCUAUGGAGGGUGCACCCUUACAGAUGGAGCAAUGGCUGCGUUACUUUGCCAUAGCACCGUUAAGACCUUCCAUAUAAACAAAGGCUUGGACUCAGCCUUCCCUGAGCCUUGAAGACUGAUUGCCCUGUGAUCCUCCUGGAACACCGAAGAAUGGGAGGCCCCUCCCACUCUUCACUGGCCUCCCCAUCUUCCUCAGAGGUGUCCCAAGACAGCUUCUCAUCACCUCUCAGGUUCUGAGAUAUGGACUUUCUGCCUUAUUCUCCCUCAGAAAAGAGUCGCAGAACAUAAAACCCCUUGGCUGCGGUCUAGCAGGAGUUUCUCAGCAAUGGAGGUACCCCACAACUUGCAUUGCAGUCAUCUGUCUCCUUGUGUUUUGGCAAGAUCUUACCCCCGUCAAGAUGAACAGGACUAGGGCAGAAACCCAAGUCCCUCCUUCUCUAAGGAGGAUCAGAGGCUUUAUGCACUGAUCAAGGUGUGCUGGGGACUUGAUGGCAACCACAGUUGUCGAACCUGUUCAGCCUUUUCCGACACUGGGCACAAGUCAUUGGGGCACCGAGAAAUACCCAUGGUUAUGGUCAAAAAAUUACUUUAACUGGAUUUGGAAGAAACUCUCAGAUUGGACAGUGGACUGAUGUAAUUUUGUGGAUAUAUUAAUAA
rnacentral:lncRNA from 1 species